rnacentral:misc_RNA from 1 species
UUUUUUGGAAAAGAAAAUGAAAAAUGACCCCGCUUUUUCCUAUGAAGAAACUGUGCAGACUGCUAUUUCUGCUCUGCAAUCUGUUCUUCAAGAGGACUUCAAGGCUACUGAGAUUGAGGUUGGAGUUGUGAGAGCAGACAAUCGAGUUUUUAGAGUGUUGUCAACUGAGGAGAUUGAUGAACAUUUGACUGCUAUUAGUGAACGUGACUGAUUUUAUGGAGUAUCACAGCUACUUGCACAAUGGAGACAAUUCUGCUGGCAUUGGGGGUCAUCAGGAUAUGCUUAGUUUAGAUUAUUUGAAAAGGAGAUAAGAGAGGGAAGGAUUACUGCUAUUAUUUUGAAUUUUAUACCCCUCUCGCUGCUUAAGUUUUGUUAAAUUAUCAAAUGGUGCUGCAUUUCUUUCUUCUGCCUUUUGUCAAGAAUAUCAUGUGCUAAAUGGUUCCAGUUACGGAAAACCCUUUAUUGCCAGCAUAGCAUUUGCAAACUUUUAAGUGUUAGUGCCAAUUUUAUUAUCUUCUAUACCUGUGUAAUGGAAGUUUAUGGUGAUCGUCAUAAUGCAGAAGAAUGAAAUGUUUCUGGCACU